rnacentral:tRNA from 1 species
GGAAUUGUGGCUUAGUGGCAGAGCACUUACCUAGCAUGUGUGAGGCACUGGGUUCAAUCCUCAGCACCA